GGGUCGUUAGCUCAGUUGGUUAGAGCAGUUGACUUUUAAUCAAUUGGUCGCAGGUUCGAAUCCUGCACGACCACC
rnacentral:tRNA from 1 species